rnacentral:ncRNA from 1 species
GUCAUUACUAUAGCAAUCCUGUUCAGUACGAGAGGAAUUGCAGGUUUAAACAUUUGAUGUAUGUGUUUGGCUGAGGAGCCAAUGGUGCGAAGCUACCAUCUGCAGGAUUGUGACCGAAAGCCUCUAAGUCAGAAUCCUGCCUAGAUGCAGUGAU